rnacentral:lncRNA from 1 species
GGGCUGUCAGGAGGAGAAAAGUGGAAGGAGCGUCCAGGUGAAAUGAACUGUGCAGUCCUUUAGAGCCUCUGGACAGAAGGUCAUUUCUGCCAUCCAGAAGCACAGAUCAGCUGAGAGCAACGCACCAGAAGAAGGCCUAAGAGUUUCCGAAAGUGCUGGUUCAAAAAACAUAUUGCACCUCUCUACCAAAGUCACAGCAGCUCACUCACCAGCUGUUUGUUCCUGUGCUAAGGAAAAGAGAGUGUG